rnacentral:rRNA from 1 species
CCUGAUCCAGCAAUACCGCGUGUGUGAAGAAGGCCUGCGGGUUGUAAAGCACUUUCAGUGGGGAAGAUAAUGACGUUACCCACAGAAGAAGCACCGGCUAACUCCGUGCCAGCAGCCGCGGUAAUACGGAGGGUGCAAGCGUUAAUCGGAAUUACUGGGCGUAAAGCGUGCGUAGGCGGCCUUUUAAGUCGGAUGUGAAAUCCCCGGGCUCAACCUGGGAACUGCAUCCGAUACUGGGGGGCUAGAAUUUGGGAGAGGGGAGUGGAAUUUCCGGUGUAGCGGUGAAAUGCAUAGAGAUCGGAAGGAACACCAGUGGCGAAGGCGGCUCCCUGGACCAAAAUUGACGCUGAGGCACGAAAGCGUGGGUAGCAAACAGGAUUAGAUACCCUGGUAGUCCACGCCGUAAACGAUGUCAACUAGCCGCUGGCCCCACUCUAGGGGUCGGUGGUGCAGCUAACGCAUUAAGUUGACCGCCUGGGGAGUACGGCCGCAAGGUUGAAACUCAAAUGAAUUGACG